rnacentral:rRNA from 1 species
GGUUGUCGUCAGCUCGUGUCGUGAGAUGUUGGUUAAGUCCCGCAACGAGCGCAACCCCUAUUGUUAGUUGCCAUCAUUCAGUUGGGCACUCUAGCGAGACUGCCGGUAAUAAACCGGAGGAAGGUGGGGAUGACGUCAAAUCAUCAUGCCCCUUAUGACCUGGGCUACACACGUGCUACAAUGGUCGGUACAACGAGUUGCGAGUCGGUGACGGCGAGCUAAUCUCUUAAAGCCAAUCUCAGUUCGGAUUGUAGGCUGCAACUCGCCUACAUGAAGUCGGAAUCGCUAGUAAUCGCGGAUCAGCACGCCGCGGUGAAUACGUUCCCGGGCCUU